GGGAAUGUGGCUUAGUGGUAAGUGCUUGCCUAGCAUGCAUGAAGCCCUGGGUUCAAUUCCUCAGUACCA
rnacentral:tRNA from 1 species